AAAGAAUAAAGUGCGAGAAGUAUCAGACUAUGUUGAUAACCGCUGGCAGGUGAAGAAGGAAGUUUUACUUAAGCUUGGCUUGCCUGUUAACCCUGAAAAGAGAAGCAUUGCUGCAUUUUUCUUCAAAAGAUGCUUGCCACCUGCGGAUGGAAGUGUGAGACCCGGUGAAAUUUCACCAAUAUCAUCCCUGAAAUCACAUUCUGGCAGUAAUCAAGAACAGCAGCAGAGUUCGUAC